rnacentral:rRNA from 1 species
GAUGAACGCUGGCGGCGUGCCUAAUACAUGCAAGUAGAACGCUGAAGGAGGAGCUUGCUCUUCUGGAUGAGUUGCGAACGGGUGAGUAACGCGUAGGUAACCUGCCUGGUAGCGGGGGAUAACUAUUGGAAACGAUAGCUAAUACCGCAUGACAACAGUUAUUGCAUGAUAACUGUUUAAAAGGGGCAACUGCUCCACUACCAGAUGGACCUGCGUUGUAUUAGCUAGUUGGUGAGGUAACGGCUCACCAAGGCGAGGAUACAUAGCCGACCUGAGAGGGUGAUCGGCCACACUGGGACUGAGACACGGCCCAGACUCCUACGGGAGGCAGCAGUAGGGAAUCUUCGGCAAUGGACGGAAGUCUGACCGAGCAACGCCGCGUGAGUGAAGAAGGUUUUCGGAUCGUAAAGCUCUGUUGUAAGAGAAGAACGAGUGUGAGAGUGGAAAGUUCACACUGUGACGGUAUCUUACCAGAAAGGGACGGCUAACUACGUG